CUCUCAGAGUUUCUCUCUGGGUUUUUAUCUCCCUCUCCUGUUUGCCUGGUCCUAGUUCCGUUUUCAGUUAAGAGCCUUCAGAGAGAAAUAAUCUGAUUGGCCCAUCUCGUCCCUGUGUGGGAAGAACUUUCCGCUGGCCAGUCCACAGACUGGCUGUCUUCGGGUCAGGUGCAUGAGUGUCAUCCAGCCAGCCAUGUUGGAGCCAGGGUCAAGUGGAGGAGAACGUGGCAGUCCGGAAGCUUUCAAGUCAGCCAGGCAUCUUUCUGGGUCAUGAAGAAACUCCCUUCCUUCUCCAUCACAGCUCCUCACUUUCUGCACUGCUGACCAUCUCCCUGCCCUGCUUCAGGAUGUCCUCAACCUUUGGAUGGAAGAAGAGUUAACACGGGGAAGCCACGCAUGUGGGCUAAGGAGCGGCCACCGCACACUUCACCUGGGUGACCAGGGUAUCCUGAGACACACUCCUGUGCCCGGGACAGCCGAGGUGCUUGAACUCGGCUGUGGAAACAAGGGUCACGGGAAGCAGAGGCUGCCAGGCCCUUGCGGUCCUGUCACGG